UUGCUCAUUUUGGCAGUACAUGUACUACAUUGGACCAUUCCAGAGAUUAAUAAGACCCUUGUGCAAGAAUGACAUGCAAAUUCUUGAAACAUUUUAUGCUUUU
rnacentral:snRNA from 1 species